rnacentral:rRNA from 1 species
UACGAAGGGGGCUAGCGUUGUUCGGAUUUACUGGGCGUAAAGCGCACGUAGGCGGAUUCUUAAGUCAGGGGUGAAAUCCCGAGGCUCAACCUCGGAACUGCCUUUGAUACUGGGGAUCUCGAGUUCGGGAGAGGUGAGUGGAAUUGCGAGUGUAGAGGUGAAAUUCGUAGAUAUUCGCAAGAACACCAGUGGCGAAGGCGGCUCACUGGCCCGAUACUGACGCUGAGGUGCGAAAGCGUGGGGAGCGAACAGG